GGGUCACUCUAUGAGUGCUCUGUGGUUGGCAGUUUAGUUCCUGGGAGCUCUAGGGUGUCUGGUGAUUGAUUUUGUUGUUCUUCCAAUGGGGUUUCAAACCCCCUCAGAUAUAAAUAUGGAGUUCAAAGGAUAAACAACAAGUUCUCAAUGUCAGAAGAGAAAGAAGUUGUUUAAAAUCUUCAUUGACUUGACAUUUCUACUAUUCAGCAUACACACAUAAAAGUGAUGACUUCACCUUCCAUUCACUGCAAAACGAUCUUGCUUAUCCUAAGAAUUAUGAUUUGAAUAAAUUCAUCUUCAUAAUA